UCGCAUCCUUCUGCAUCUGUAAUCUUCCUCCUGCAUAAGUCUUUCCUGAGCAAUUCAUUCUUUUUCUCUCCCUGCAAUUUCUUCCCUUGGAGUGGAAAUCACCCAUUCCAUUUUGGCGACCACGGUGUUCCCCGUUCCCCUCUUCACAGCGCUCAUGGAUUUCUCUCCUCAAUUCCCUUGAAUUUCUUCAAUUUUCGUUUCAAUGAUUGGCCCUUAAGGAAAUUUCAGACAAUCCUCUGUUUUUCUGUGCAAUUACAGGUUUUCUUUUUCAAUUCGCUUCAGCAAUGUCUUCUCCCUCCUCUGCUACCCACAAUUCUUCAUUCUGCUGGGCGAAUUCCACGGCGCCACCUUUCUUUUUCACCAAUUCGCUCAACUCCCCUGUUUUGCACUAGGGUCGUCAAAAUCGGGCAAAUUUCCAAAAAUUCGAGAAUUUCCAGACUGCCCAUUUGUUCAUCUCAUCACGGCGCACAAGAUUUCACCUUUCUUCAUCAACUUUGGCUCUUCCUCAACGGUCUUCAACUGCGACUUCAGGCAUCGACUUUGAGAAUGAUUUCAAGUGAUCAAUUCGCCUUCAUUUCUGGCUUCAGAUAUCUGGCGACAUCAACAAUCAUCACCAACAUUAGUCUACAUCAGCAAUAGGCGACUACUUUAACAACAACGACAGCUACAACUUCAGGCGACGUCAGAUAUCAUCAACAAUUGCUUUCCUUAGCGAUCAAGAUUCUUCAACAACAACUACUACAGCAACGUCUACUACAACAACUUCUACUUCAGCAACUUCGACUUCAGCAACUUCGUCAUCAACAAUUUCGUCUUCAGCAACUUCGACUUCAGCAUAUUUCUUCCUAACACUUUGCCUGAUUUUGCCUGAUUUGCACAGCAGCAUGCGACACCUGAUCGCAUGUAUGGACAUGACAACCAGCUUACAAGACUUCACAACAUAGAGCGUUCGCAGAGAUAAUUUGCAAAAUUUCCACAAAAAAUUUUGCAAAAGCCAAAGUAGUUAUUGAAACCUUUGUUUGCAAAGACACUUUCCUCCUCCUCAUAAGACACUGAUCUGCAUAUUUUUUUCAC
rnacentral:lncRNA from 1 species